CCAAGUUUGAAUAUCAUCAGCUUCCUUCUGAGCUACCUCUGCCCAUCACCGCCAGACUUCCUUUCUCAAGGGAGUCUCAAGACAGAAGAAGAUCUUGAAGUGACUCCAGGGGCCUGAAGGCUGACUGGCAUUCCCUGCGCAUGGGGGGACUCCAAGCGCAAUGACCUG
rnacentral:lncRNA from 1 species